AUGCAUAGCCUAUUUUGCCCUUAUUUCUUUGCUAAAAGUAGUUGUAUAUCUUUAUGUAGAUGCAAAGAAGCUGAGAAGUAUUGGAGAGCAAAUAGAAUGUUUAAUGAAGAUCACUAUCUCUGUCACAACAUGAAUGAGAAGAGGCUUCAAUUGGUUGAAUCAGUAGCAGAAAUGGAAAGCUUCUUUUACUCGUAAAUGAAAGAAGAGACAGAGUGAGCAUUUUGUACCUUUUAAUAAAAAAGGGCCUGAGUUGCUACAUAGUUUAGCAGUGGGAGCCUGUGAUGCUGCCAAAGUCACAAAAGUUCAGGAAAAAGUGAAGAAGGCUGUAGCAGGAUGAUAUGAUAUUCUACAGCGUUCACACAGAGAUGCUACAUGGCUGGCCAAGAAAUUCUUCCUAGGAAAUUAGCUAUGUAGUCCUACUUCUUUAGGCAGAAGACUCAUCAGAAGACUAUAUUCCAAAGGUUAGUCUGAACCAAAAGCUGAUGCUGCAAAAGGUCAAUUCUCAAGUAAACAGAACUCCAGCUGUAAGAAUUUGAGCGUCAAAGGCAUUCUACUAUUUGAAAGCUAGUACAUUAUCAGCUUUAAUGCUGGUAAUAAAAUUUAUGUUAUAGCAAAACAAGCAGCAGCCUUAAUUAAAAAUAGAGAAACUUCAGUGUAAGUUGUAUCUGAAGACUGAUUUAAAGAAAUUACUUAUAGAUGUAUCUAUGUGUUGUUGUAGCCACUGAUGGGGGCAUUAAUUUUACUAAACCCAGCAAGUUAAAAUGUUCUUAAUAGCUUGAAUCCCAAGAGUGUUAUAUAAGGAAACUCAAAUACAGACCACAGUUAGUAUCACAUUCAAGGUUCUUGUGUCCAGUGUAUUUAUCCUCAAAUCAUUUUCUAAAGAGUGUAAAAAAUGCGGUAUCUUCUGAGGGCAUUACUACUUAUGAAAAUCUCUUGCACAGCAGAGAUCGGGUUUGGAAAUGUCAAACCCUGAGUUAUGUUCCUUGGUUAUUUAAUCUUUAGGAUUACUUACCAUUGAUUACUUGCUUUAUGUAGGUGUGGACUUAGUUUUUGUUGUCUCCUCACAAGGUCAAAAUCUGUGCUGUUGACCUUUUUUGUAGCCCCCAACUCCUAAUCCAGUUUAGUGAUAUGCAUAGAGUGAGACACAGGGCCUACUGAUUUAUGGGGCUUCAUAGCAUAGAAGUGAAUAUAAACAUGUUCUGUUGGGAAUAAACUUGUCCUACAAAGAACGUGACCAUUUGCAGUCAUGUUGCAACAUACCUGUUAGAAUUCACACUAGGGCACAAAUCAGAGUCUUUACCCCAGGUGGACCUACCUCCUUCAACAUCAGUUCUGAUGUAACAAUUGCAAUUGGAAGAAUCCCUUAAGGAUACAGUGUCUGGCCAAGACAACAUCCUUAGUGGAUGGCCCCAUGGAUUUUGCUUAUGUUUUGUCACUGCUACAGACUUCUUAGCUGUGUGACCCUGGACCAAUUUCUUAAUUUCCCAAAGCCUCGGUUUUCUUAUUAGUAAAAUGGGGAAAUAGUAGUACUUAUCUCAUAGGGAUAUUGGGAGGAUAAAUAAGAUGGUAAAUAUAAAAUAGUGAUGCCUGACACAUCAGAGUUUAAAACUAGAUUGAAAAAUAUAGUAUUUAACAAUGUAUUAGAAAUGGAAAUAGAAUUGAAAUGUCUCUCUAACCUCUUGCCUAGCAGAGAUGAAGCACUCAAUAAGUCCUAUCUAUUUUAAUUAGGAUAGGCUAAAGUGUUAUUUCAGAUUGACUCAAGAUAUAAUUGACUCAAACUCAAAAGUUUACUUUUUCUUUACAAAACAGCACAAAGUGGAUGUUACCAGUCAGUAAAGGGAGCUCCACUCCACACAACCAUUCAGGGACCCAGGGUAAAAGUGGUAGUGCCGGUUUUAGCUUGUAAUGUUCUGAAUGUCAUCAUCCCUGUAAGCGGGAAUGGUGAAGGCACCUUCCUGAGAGGGGUUUUGUGGGCCAGGUCUGAAAGAGACACACCACCUCCCCUCACAUUCCAUCAGAGAGAGCUUAGUUGCAUGGCCAUACUCAAUUACAAUGGAGAUUGGGAAGUAUAAUGAGGUUGGGGAGGAUGAAUUUUGGUAGGCAACUAACAACUAACAGUUUCUACUAAUGCUAUUUUUUUCUGGAGCAAUAAACUCAACAUUGAUUCAUUUAUAGUAUUAGAUAAAAUUUGCCUUUAAUUUGAAAACCUUAAAAACCUAACAAUGUAGAGUCAAAAUGUUCCUGUAAAUCUAUAGGUAAGAGUAUACAGAUCAUGUGGUGUUUUUAGUCUAACAUUUUAUUUUAUGCAUAGAACUUCUAACAGGAAUCAACCACAGAAGGCAUGCAAAUUAUAUGCUACAAAUUUAUAAUUUAUUCAGAAAUUUAUUAAAACAAUCAAUAUGUAUUUAAUAUUUAGAUUUCUCUAGGAACUGCAUUUCUGUGAGUGAUAGAAAAAAAAAUAGAUCUAGUCCUCAAAGAGCAUGUGGUUUGGCAGUGGCAUGCUGAGAUGUCCGCUACAAGUUAUCAUAAAGUUGGAAAAUGAAAUUAUAUGGCAAAAGAGCUAACAAAGUGCUAGAAACUGAUUACAAAUCCAAUUUUGAUUAGGCCAGAGCUACCUUUUAAUUUCCUUGAUCUUUUGAAGUUUUCUAAAUGGAGCCUCUAUUACAUCGAGCCAUAAGUUUCUCUCCUGGUCUUCAGUUGACCGGGGCAUCAUGAAGUCCUGCAACUCCCUCCACCUUCACACACAUACAACUGUUAAUGUUUCACUUCCAAGAGGGAAAACUUUUAAGGGACAUCUUUCAUCAAAAUUAAGGUUAAAUAUUGUUGGGGUUUUGGUGGAAGUCAUUUUUAAGCAAAUUAUUAGAAAAGCAAAACUAAUU
ensembl:lncRNA